GAGUGAAGAGGGAAGAGCCCAGCACCGAAGCCUGCGGCAGUUUUGCUGUUAGGCAAUGUGGUGUGCGGGUCGGUCAGCGGGAUCCUCACUCCACUCGAAGUCCAGCAUUGAGUAUGGUUAUCACUGGAUUUGGCCCAUAGAGGGUGAGAGGCCCAUACGAGUGGAGGUUCAGAUGUGUGCGACGAUUCACCAGACCGACCUCAGAGUCGGGUUGUUUGAGAUUGCAGCCCAAAGAGGGUGGUAAACUCAAUCCAAGGCUAAAUACUGGCACGAGUCCGAUAGCGAACAAGUACCGUGAGGGAAAGUUGAAAAGUACUCUGAAGAGAGAGUAAACAGUACGUGAAGCCGCAUGCAGGUAAACGGGUGGCGUCAAGCUGCUAGCCCGGAGGAUUCAGCUGAUUAGGAUGUAGUGUACGCGUGCCUGGUGCGUCGAGAGACCGGAAUAAGAUGUUUAGCGGUCCAUUCCUCAACUAGGAGUGGGGUGCUAUUGGUGUGCAUGUGCUUGCAUAUGUGUGCCGAUUGUCGCUAUACAUGCCGGAUGGUAACCGGAGUAUGCCGCUCAUCUGUUGGGUCACCUAAUCAGUGCAUUUUCUCCGUGGUGAACACCACGACCGGUGGAACUGCCAGUCUGCUGCCAUCAAGUCGUGUCCUUCUGACCCCUCUAUUUCUUUGUCUCUUGCAGCUAUUGCUAUCUAUCUAUUAUUAUCUCUCCUUCUGGGGGAUGGUGAUAUUAGUGGGUGGUGAUGGUUGUGAGGGAUGCGAGGAGUGGAUGUGUGUGUUAGGUGGAUACGAUCGCAGGUGGAGUUAGUAGACGGCGUAGUGGUGCAUUAGUACCGCCGCGUGUUAUCGUUUACUCUCCAUCGUAAGCGGUUAGUGGAGGUGACUGAGUACUGUAACUACUUCUCCAUUAAUCGGCGGAUAGCAGCGGUAAAAAUGACUGUGCAGGGCACUGGAGUUAUCCAUCUCGAUCAUUCCUUUAUUCAUUCAUUUAUGUGGGUGGAUGGAGGGAGUGAAUAUGGUACCCGACACGUGCGUUACAGGUGCUAUGUAAUCGGGGCAUGCCGCUGUCUGUCUUGUAUUUGGCCUGACUGUCGUGUUGCCUACGCAAAGUAGGUCCGGCAGUGGUUAUAUAUACUUGGCAUUGGCAGUAUGUAGCGUGCCUCGGGUGUGUGUGGUACUUGAAAAUGAGGUGAAAUAGUCAGUGGUGCUGUGGUAGACUAGCUACCCGACCCGUCUUGAAACACGGACCAAGGAGUUUAACAUGUGUGCGAGUCAAKGGGUCCUACGAAACCCCAAGGCGCAAUGAAAGUGAAGUUCAUGCUGUACUUUUGUAUGUGCGCAGUGCAGUAUGGCGAGGUGAGAUCUCCUUGUACUCAUGACACACGCCGCAGCAUACCUUACUGGGCAUUAUUGGGGCAAGGAGCGCAUCACCGGCCCGKCGCAUGUUGUGGUCAUAGGUGUAUUUGUAUGUGGAGAGGUGUGUGUAUAUGUGUGUACUCUAUGCAUACAUGUGCAUAUACU
rnacentral:rRNA from 1 species